rnacentral:rRNA from 1 species
UACGGGGGGGGCAAGCGUUGUUCGGAAUUACUGGGCGUAAAGGGUUCGUAGGUGGCCUACUAAGUCAGACGUGAAAUCCCUCAGCUUAACUGGGGAACUGCGUCUGAGACUGGAAGGCUUGAGUGCAGGAGAGGAACGCGGAAUUCCUGGUGUAGCGGUGAAAUGCGCAGAUAUCAGGAGGAACACCGGUGGCGAAGGCGGGUCUCUGGGCCGAUACUGACGCUGAGGAGCGAAAGCCAGGGGAGCAAACGGG